rnacentral:misc_RNA from 1 species
GUAGGUGAACCUGCGGAAGGAUCAUUAAUGAAUAACUUGAUGUGGUUGUAGCUGGCUCUUCGGAGUAUGUGCACACCCAUCAUCUUAUCUUUCCACCUGUGCACUCAAUGUAGAUCUGGAUAACUCUCGCUCUUCGGGGCGGAAACAAGGAUUGCUGUGUCGAAAGACCAGCUCUCUUUGAAUUUCCAGGUCUAUGUCAUUACAAACUCCAAUUGAAUGAUGAAGAAUGUAGUCAAUGGGCUCUAAGCCU